GACGAACGCUGGCGGCGUGCUUAACACAUGCAAGUCGAACGGCAAGGCCCUGCUUUUGUGGGGUGCUCGAGUGGCGAACGGGUGAGUAACACGUGAGUAACCUGCCCUUGACUUUGGGAUAACUUCAGGAAACUGGGGCUAAUACCGGAUAGGAGCUCCUGCUGCCUGGUGGGGGUUGGACAGUUUCGGCGGUUGGGGAUGGACUCGCGGCUUAUCAGCUUGUUGGUGGGGUAGUGGCUUACCAAGGCUUUGACGGGUAGCCGGCCUGAGAGGGUGACCGGCGACAUUGGGACUGAGAUACGGCCCAGACUCCUACGGGAGGCAGCAGUGGGGAAUAUUGCACAAUGGGCGGAAGCCUGAUGCAGCAACGCCGCGUGCGGGAUGACGGCCUUCGGGUUGUAAACCGCUUUCGCCUGUGACGAAGCGUGAGUGACGGUAAUGGGUAAAGAAGCACCGGCUAACUACGUG
rnacentral:rRNA from 1 species